AUUGAACGCUGGCGGCAGGCUUAACACAUGCAAGUCGAGCGGGGGAAGGUAGCUUGCUACUGGACCUAGCGGCGGACGGGUGAGUAAUGCUUAGGAAUCUGCCUAUUAGUGGGGGACAACAUCUCGAAAGGGAUGCUAAUACCGCAUACGUCCUACGGGAGAAAGCAGGGGAUCUUCGGACCUCGCGCUAAUAGAUGAGCCUAAGUCGGAUUAGCUAGUUGGUGGGGUAAAGGCCUACCAAGGCGACGAUCUGCAGCGGGUCUGAGAGGCUGAUCCGCCACACUGGGACUGAGACACGGCCCAGACUCCUACGGGAGGCAGCAGUGGGGAAUAUUGGACAAUGGGGGGAACCCUGAUCCAGCCAUGCCGCGUGUGUGAAGAAGGCCUUAUGGUUGUAAAGCACUUUAAGCGAGGAGGAGGCUACUCUAGUUAAUACCUAGGGAUAGUGGACGUUACUCGCAGAAUAAGCACCGGCUAACUCUGUGCCAGCAGCCGCCGUAA
rnacentral:rRNA from 1 species